GACGAACGCUGGCGGCGUGCCUAAUACAUUCAAGUCGAACGCUUCUUUCCUCCCGAGUGCUUGCACUCAAUUGGAAAGAGGAGUGGCGGACGGGUGAGUAACACGUGGGUAACCUACCCAUCAGAGGGGGAUAACACUUGGAAACAGGUGCUAAUACCGCAUAACAGUUUAUGCCGCAUGGCAUAAGAGUGAAAGGCGCUUUCGGGUGUCGCUGAUGGAUGGACCCGCGGUGCAUUAGCUAGUUGGUGAGGUAACGGCUCACCAAGGCCACGAUGCAUAGCCGACCUGAGAGGGUGAUCGGCCACACUGGGACUGAGACACGGCCCAGACUCCUACGGGAGGCAGCAGUAGGGAAUCUUCGGCAAUGGACGAAAGUCUGACCGAGCAACGCCGCGUGAGUGAAGAAGGUUUUCGGAUCGUAAAACUCUGUUGUUAGAGAAGAACAAGGACGUUAGUAACUGAACGUCCCCUGACGGUAUCUAACCAGAAAGCCACGGCUAACUACGUG
rnacentral:rRNA from 1 species